UUUUGGUAUAGCAUUGCAAAUGUAAAUGAGCGAAAUACCUAAUAAAAAAUGGAAAAAAAAAAAAAGAAAAAAAAAUGUGCAGCAUAAUGUCUCCGAAGACACACUUGUCCCAAUUCCCAAGCUUCUAUAUAUGUUACCUCACAUUACAGAGGGUCCUUCCAGUGUGGUUAAAUUAAGGAUCUUGAGAUGAAGAGAGUUUUCUGGGCUAAACAGAUAGCAUCACCUAGUCCUGGAGGUCCUCAUUAGAGAAGGCAAGAACAUCACUGACAGACAGAAAGCAGAAGGUGCUAUACUGUUGGCUCUGAAGGUGGAGCACAAGACCAUCGCUAUGGUAAACAGACAGUGUUUAGAGACUGUCAAAGCUAGGAAACAGAGUUUGCUCUCAACCCUCCAAAAGAAAAAUGAGUGAAGUAUUGAUUUGGGCCUAAUUCAAUCCAUUCUGAACUUCUGGUCUUCAGAACGAUGUAAUUAUGGUAAAGCCAAUUGCUCUAGUACGUUUAUAUUGUCAUAAAAUUUGUUAUGAGAUGCGAAGUUCAUAAACAACAGAAUGCCCAAGAUAAUUUAGGUGGCGAAUCUGACAUCAUUUGUCUUGUGAACGAUGUCUUCUAGUCUUGUUUUCACAUGGUACACUGACAAGAAAGUAUUUUAUUGUGUGUGCAUACUUAUCUAAGGGCACUAACUCCACUUAUAGGUGCUCUUCCUCAUGACCUGCUCAUGUCUCAAAGGCCACAAGUCUUCAUGCCAGGACUUUGGCCAUCUGGGUAUGUCAAUACAUGAAGGGAGAACAUAAUCCUUCGGACCAUAGUAUUACUGGGGUUUUUUGGGGGGCAUUAUUAUAAAAUAUUAGUUAAGUUUACUCAGUCUCAAGAUCUAUUUGGAUAACAUAUUAGGUACUUUCCUAGAUAGGUUUAUUCUGAGAAAUAAAAUUCAUGACUCAGGUAAAAAUUCCAAAAGAACAUGUUAACGGACUGAUGAUAAAGUUGUCAUUAAUUCAUUAAUCAUUAAUUCUGUUUAAGUAAUAUUAUGGACCUACUUGGUUUCUCUGCUGCUGUGAUAAAACAUUGAUCAAAAGCAACUUGGGUGAAAAAGUAAUUAUUGACUUUUCCCCAUCACAGUCUAUCUCUGAGCAAAAGCAAGGAGGGAGCCUAGAUAUAUGAACUGAUCCAGAAAUGCAGAGAAACACUGCUUAGUGGCCUGCUGCUCAUGGUCGGCUCAGCUUGCUUUCUCAUACAACCCCCAACCACCUGCCAGGGUUGGCACCACCCAAAAGAUUCCCUCUUCCUAGAUGUCUCUAUCUCAUGUCAAGUUGACAAAGAACUAACCAGCACAUUCAUCAUGUAAAAUCUUUCUGAAUUGCUAAUCACUCUAGAGAGUGGCUACAGCCUUUCCCUUCAGAGUGCAAAUCCAGAAGUUUUAUGCAGGGAUGAGCACUGGCUGGUGGCUGUUCUGUCUGGUCCUAACAGUCCAUAAGAUAGAAAUGUGACACUAGCAAGAUUAUGCUGAAAGGACCCUGAUAUAGCUGUCUCUUGUCAGAGUAUGCCUGGGCCUAGCAAAC
rnacentral:lncRNA from 1 species